AAUCAUUUUGUUAAGUAUUUGAAACAUCAGUAAAGAAGAAAUGAAAGAUUUACUUCGCAGGAGAGAUGAUGCCUAAUUUGAAACCAUAAUAAGUUCAACUUUGGUAUCAUUUCUCUUGCAUAGUGAACCUUUCAUCUUCUUCUACGAAAAUGGUGCUUUGAUGAUGAUCGAUCAUGGAAGCUUAAUGUGAAACCCGAAGCAGGAAUUGCCAAUUAUGCCCCUUCUUCCCACCGACUUACUUGGCCUUGCUUUCUCACCGACUUCCUCACCAUCUUCCCCCUCUGUCUAAAGGAAAAGGGUCAGAGUAUUUAGGGGAAUCAAGGAGAGAGAAACCUAGAGAGAGAAACUUCUGCAACUCAAGACCAACGAUUGUCCUUUCGACGAGGGUGCUUCGAUUUUCCGAUCUCGUCACAUUCAUCAACUAUUUUAUCUGAGAAGGAGAUGCACUUGACUGGAGUUUAUGAUUUAGUUGCUGUGUUAACUCACAAGGAUAGAAGUGCUUAUUCAGGGCACUAUGUUGGUUGGGUGAAGCAAGAUAAUGGAAAGUGGAUUGAGUAUGAUGACAACAACCCAAUUCCCUAACGAGAAGAAGACAUUGUGAAACACUCUGGGGGAGAUUUUGUUGCUUCCAGGAAAGUGCGUUCCUCAAUCCUCCAAUGCCUUCAAUUUUCAGUAUCCUUUCAUUCUUUGGCAGAUAUCUUUCUUUGUUUAUUUAUGUUUAGUCAUUUCUCAGGUUUUUUGGGAUGUUUAGUCUGUUGAAUUUGAAUUCUGGGAUUUGGAGUUUUAUUUAGUAUUGUUGGAUUUCUAUGUUGAGGGAAUAAAUGAAUUUAUUUGUGUACUUUGAUCCAAAAGUGGUCAUAUGGCGGUAGUGUGGUUGAGAAUUGGCUGUAGCUGAUUGUUGCGACUUUGGGUGUGUGGGAGGUUGGGGUUUGGGUGGCUAAUUAUAUUUAAUUUUUUUUUCUUUAAAAUUAUUUUUGGUUUUAGAUUUUUCCUGAAAUUUUGUUCUUUUAUCUCUUAUAAUUACAGAUAUAUGUUUGAGUUCCUUCCAUCGAAUGACCUUCGGAGCUUUUCCUACAUUGAUGGAGCUAGCAAGUGUUAAGCAAGUUGCAAUUAUUGGGUCCCAACUUCUAUUGAACUUACCAAACAUUUUUGUACAAAGGUGUUGAUUUAUUUUUGAUCUUUUGAUACGUAAAUCUGUACCGAGUGCUCCCUGCAUAUACCGGAGGAUCUACGGUUGCUUCAUCAGUUCAGUCUGCCUGUAGUGCUCAGUUUAAUUCAGGUGGAUGAGCCAACUCGCUCGACACCAAGGAAGAAAUCAAUUAACCCACCAAGUAUGACAUCAAUAGAUGAACUCCGAACACCCGACUUUGAAGCCUUGUUGAAAUCAUUUUGGGGCUUUAGGUCUGGAAAGCAGACAAAAGGUGAUGUGAAACAUAUAUACGGACAAGAGGGUGUUUUAACUAAAGUGAGUCAGUAGUUUAAUUGUAAGAUGCAUCUAUAGUAUUAUGUAGAAACAAUGUACACUUAUACUGUAUAUGUAUACAAACCAUGUAGCUUCAAUUUCCUUAGAUAAUCAAAGGUCACUAGAUGAUGCCCGUGCGAUGCACGGUUUGUUAG